UACGUAGGGGGCGAGCGUUGUCCGGAUUUACUGGGCGUAAAGCGCGUGUAGGCGGCUGCUUAAGUCGGGUGUGAAAGCCCGGGGCUCAACCCCGGGAUGCCGCCCGAGACUGGGCGGCUUGAGGUCGGAAGAGGGGAGUGGAAUUCCAGGUGUAGCGGUGAAAUGCGUAGAGAUCUGGAGGAACACCCGUGGCGAAGGCGGCUCCCUGGUCCGAUUCUGACGCUGAGGCGCGAAAGCCAGGGGAGCAAACGGG
rnacentral:rRNA from 1 species